UGAGUAUUCCUGAUUGCAUAGCUCUGUGUUGUGACUGCUAUACGGUCUGGGACACUUCUA
rnacentral:pre_miRNA from 1 species